rnacentral:rRNA from 1 species
UAGGGAAUCUUCCGCAAUGAGCGAAAGCCCGACGGAGCAACGCCGCGUGAGUGAUGAAGGUCUUCGGAUCGUAAAACUCUGUUAUUAGGGAAGAACAAAUGUGUAAGUAACUAUGCACAUCUUGACGGUACCUAAUCAGAAAGCCACGGCUAACUACGUGCCAGCAGCCGCGGUAAUACGUAGGUGGCAAGCGUUAUCCGGAAUUAUUGGGCGUAAAGCGCGCGUAGGCGGUUUUUUAAGUCUGAUGUGAAAGCCCACGGCUCAACCGUGGAGGGUCAUUGGAAACUGGAAAACUUGAGUGCAGAAGAGGAAAGUGGAAUUCCAUGUGUAGCGGUGAAAUGCGCAGAGAUAUGGAGGAACACCAGUGGCGAAGGCGACUUUCUGGUCUGUAACUGACGCUGAUGUGCGAAAGCGUGGGGAUCAAACA